CCUACGGGAGGCAGCAGUGGGGAAUAUUGGACAAUGGGCGGAAGCCUGAUCCAGCAACGCCGCGUGAGGGAUGACGGCCUUCGGGUUGUAAACCUCUUUCGCCUUUGACGAAGUUCCUGCUUUUUGGUGGGGGUGACGGUAGGGGGUAAAGAAGCACCGGCCAACUACGUGCCAGCAGCCGCGGUAAUACGUAGGGUGCGAGCGUUGUCCGGAAUUAUUGGGCGUAAAGGGCUCGUAGGCGGUUUGUCGCGUCAGUAGUGAAAGCCCGGGGCUUAACCCUGGGUCUGCUUCUGAUACGGGCAGACUAGAGGUAUGUAGGGGAGAACGGAAUUCCUGGUGUAGCGGUGAAAUGCGCAGAUAUCAGGAGGAACACCGGUGGCGAAGGCGGUUCUCUGGGCAUUACCUGACGCUGAGGAGCGAAAGUGUGGGGAGCGAACAGGAUUAGAUACCCUGGUAGUCCACACCGUAAACGUUGGGCGCUAGGUGUGGGAUCCAUUCCACGGGUUCCGUGCCGCAGCUAACGCAUUAAGCGCCCCGCCUGGGGGAGGUACGGCCGCGACGGACGUAAACUACAAAUAGAAUUAGACGGCGUGAGACGNGCCGAACGGACGACGACGAGGGAGUAGG
rnacentral:rRNA from 1 species